CCUACGGGGGGCAGCAGUGGGGAAUAUUGGACAAUGGGGGGAACCCUGAUCCAGCCAUGCCGCGUGUGUGAAGAAGGCCCUCGGGUUGUAAAGCACUUUCAGUGAGGAAGAACGCCUGGUGGUUAAUACCCAUCAGGAAAGACAUCACUCACAGAAGAAGCACCGGCUAACUCCGUGCCAGCAGCCGCGGUAAUACGGAGGGUGCGAGCGUUAAUCGGAAUUACUGGGCGUAAAGCGCGCGUAGGUGGCUUGAUAAGCCGGUUGUGAAAGCCCCGGGCUCAACCUGGGAACGGCAUCCGGAACUGUCAAGCUAGAGUGCAGGAGAGGAAGGUAGAAUUACCGGUGUAGCGGUGAAAUGCGUAGAGAUCGGGAGGAAUACCAGUGGCGAAGGCGGCCUUCUGGACUGACACUGACACUGAGGUGCGAAAGCGUGGGUAGCAAACAGGAUUAGAUACCCGAGUAGUC
rnacentral:rRNA from 1 species